AUGCGUUCGCAGGCCCAGAAGAAGCCAGGACCCCAUCUCCCACCCCGCUCCCUCAUUACGAGUGCUCUGCGGCGCCAUCAGCAGAGAGCAGAGUUCAUGGCGGCGGUGGAAGAGAACGGCAAUGGAUUGGAGUUCCUAACAGAUCCUGUCGACAGGUUCCCCUGGCCGGAUCUUGAAACCAACGAUUUAACUCCGGCCGGUGAGGCAGGUACUUGUCUGACACAGUCGGCUGCUGAAUCAAGCAUGGGAGAUGUUGGCGAUGACCCACUGUCAAUCCAAUUGGCCGUGAAUAACGGCUGUGAAGCACUGCGCUUGUCGGCGGCCGAUUCGCAAUAA
rnacentral:rRNA from 1 species